GUCAGCGUGGCCGAGUGGUUAAGGCGUUUGACUCGAAAUCAAAUGGGUUCGCCCGCACAGGUUCGAAUCCUGUCGCUGACG
rnacentral:tRNA from 1 species